CUCGUCUGCACUGCACAGAGGAAAUCAGCUGACCGAGGAGUGUUUCUGAGUGAGGGGGGAGGAGUCAUCAUCCAGAUGGGCAGCAUAUCAGUCUUGGACUGUCUAACCUGCAGCACUGAAUGACCACCGC